AGCGAACGCUGGCGGCAGGCCUAACACAUGCAAGUCGAACGAAGUCUUCGGACUUAGUGGCGGACGGGUGAGUAACACGUGGGAACGUGCCUUUAGGUUCGGAAUAACUCAGGGAAACUUGUGCGAAUACCGAAUGUGCCCUUCGGGGGAUGGAUUUAUCGCCUUUAGAGCGGCCCGCGUCUGAUUAGCGAGUUGGUGCGGUAAAGGCUCACCAAGGCUACGAUCAGUAGCUGGUCUGAGAGGAUGACCAGCCACAUUGGGACUGAGACACGGCCCAAACUCCUACGGGAGGCAGCAGUGGGGAAUCUUGCGCAAUGGGCGAAAGCCUGACGCAGCCAUGCCGCGUGGAUGAUGAAGGUCUUAGGAUUGUAAAAUCCUUUCACCGGUGAAGAUAAUGACUGUAGCCGGAGAAGAAGCCCCGGCUAACUUCGUGCCAGCCGCCGCCGUAAAAC
rnacentral:rRNA from 1 species